rnacentral:rRNA from 1 species
ACACGUAGGGGGCGAGCGUUGUCCGGAAUGAUUGGGCGUAAAGGGCGCGUAGGCGGCCCGGUAAGUCUGGAGUGAAAGUCCUGUUUUUAAGAUGGGAAUUGCUUUGGAUACUGCCGCGCUUGAGUGCAGGAGAGGUAAGUGGAAUUCCCAGUGUAGCGGUGAAAUGCGUAGAGAUUGGGAGGAACACCAGUGGCGAAGGCGACUUACUGGACUGUAACUGACGCUGAGGCGCGAAAGUGUGGGGAGCAAACAGGAUUAGAUACCCUGGUAGUCCACACUGUAAACGAUGAAUGCUAGGUGUAGGGGGUAUCGACCCCUUCUGUGCCGCAGUCAACACAAUAAGCAUUCCGCCUGGGGAGUACGGCCGCAAGGUUGAAACUCAAAGGAAUUGACGGGG